rnacentral:tRNA from 1 species
GAGGGUAUAGCUCAGUGGUAGAGUGCCUGCUUAGCAUGCAUGAGGUCCUGGGUUCAAUCCCCAGUACUGCCA